rnacentral:rRNA from 1 species
AGAGUUUGAUCCUGGCUCAGGAUGAACGCUGACAGAAUGCUUAACACAUGCAAGUCUUUGGCGAAGCUGUGCUUGCACAGCCUAGCCAAGGCGGACGGGUGAGUAACGCGUAAGGAACUUGCCCUGCAGUCAGGGAUAACAGACGGAAACGACUGAUAAGACCUGGUAAAGUCAGGCGGACUCAUGUCCAGCCUGAUGAAAAGGAAUGCUGCAGGAGAGCCUUGCGUCCUAUUAGCUUGUUGGUGGGGUAACGGCCCACCAAGGCGAUGAUAGGUAGCCGGCCUGAGAGGGUGGACGGCCACAAGGGGACUGAGAUACGGCCCUUACUCCUACGGGAGGCAGCAGUGGGGAAUAUUGGACAAUGGGGGCAACCCUGAUCCAGCAAUUCUGUGUGCACGAUGAAGGUUUUCGGAUUGUAAAGUGCUUUCAGCAGGGAAGAAAAAAAUGACGGUACCUGCAGAAGAAGCGACGGCUAAAUACGUGCCAGCAGCCGCGGUAAUACGUAUGUCGCAAGCGUUAUCCGGAAUUAUUGGGCAUAAAGGGCAUCUAGGCGGCCAGAUAAGUCUGGGGUGAAAACUUGCGGCUCAACCGCAAGCCUGCCCUGGAAACUAUGUGGCUAGAGUACUGGAGAGGUGGACGGAACUGCACGAGUAGAGGUGAAAUUCGUAGAUAUGUGCAGGAAUGCCGAUGAUGAAGAUAGUUCACUGGACGGUAACUGACGCUGAAGUGCGAAAGCUAGGGGAGCAAACAGGAUUAGAUACCCUGGUAGUCCUAGCCGUAAACGAUGAUUACUGGGUGUGGGCAUGAAGAGUGUCCGUGCCGAAGCUAAUGCGAUAAGUAAUCCGCCUGGGGAGUACGGCCGCAAGGCUGAAACUCAAAGGAAUUGACGGGGACCCGCACAAGCGGUGGAGCAUGU